CUGGCACCACACACCUUCCCUGUUUGCUGUCACAUCUCCUCUGCCAUGGCCCCACCAUGGUAGACUGUGUCCCCUGGGAACUCUAAGCCAAACCAAACCCUUCCUCCCAUUGGUUGCUCUUGUCAGAGUAUAAUAUUGUAGCCACAGGAAAAGAAACCGAGGCACUGCCAGCGUCUGCCAUGCUCGUGAUCAGAAGCCUCUGGUUUGGAAAUGACCAGGUUAGAUCCGAAACAGCUCACUGUUGUUGGGACCUGGGACCAUUAGAGGGACUGUCAUCAAGAUCAGUCGCCGAGAAGCUUCUGUCGGAGAGGACCUGUAUGUACAUGUUAGGGCUUGGAGUGCUCUAUGGGGAGGAGCCUGGAGGAGUAGGAGCUAGACCCUGCUUGGGGGACAGACAGCAGCAAUAAGCAAAAUCAACUUCAGAGAACCAAGUCCUUCCACCUAUCCAGAAACACAGGACACAAACGUGGAGCGUGGCUAGCUAGACGGUAGCACCGAGGACCGUGUCUGGGCUGGGGCAGCAGUGUGGACAUGACCACUUGGCAGUCCGAGCUAUCAAGAGAGUCUCUGGUGGGGACCCACCUUCCUGUGUGUGCCCUGUGAGCAUCCUCCAGGGGCUUCCAUCUCUGGUCAACGCAUUUCCUGCCUCCUCCAUGUGCCCACUUUCCCCAGAAGUCCCCAGAAGUAGCCUUGGCUUGCACACAUGGCUCUUCCUUUGGAUGCAGACAGCUGGCUGCCUUACUGAGUCCCACCUCUGAAGUUUCUACAGGUCUGGACUUCAACCCCUUAGCACUGGGAUGCUUUUAGCACCAUUCUGACCAUAUUCUUGUCCAUGCACAUCAUCCGCCUACGUCCAUGACUGACCAUCACGGGACCUGCUGUCCUCAACUUGGGGUGAUCUUCAGACAGGGCCAGAUGGCACUGGGCAUAGCAGCUCUGCUGCAGGUGGGGGUGAGGGUAUGCUAGGGUGAAAGGAAGCUUGGGUGCCUGGUAUGGGGUACAGAUGACCAGGGUGGUAUAGGGAAGAACCCCAAGACUUCUGUGAGGAUGCCUAGGCUGUGUUUGGGGGAGGUGACAGAUAUCCAAAUGAGGCUUUGAAGGAGUGUGACUGGGGCUUCUGGCCUGUAGCAGCCUACCUUCCCAGGGACAGGUGACCUGCAUCGUAUGUAACUACAGCUCUGAUGCUCAGAGCGUUGGUCGGUAAGAGCCUAGAAAGGUGCUGGGUGAGGUACUCAGCUUUAACAUGACUGGGAACCAUCAGAUCCCGUAUCUUGGCAGGUGAAGUCUUGGGUUUUGUAUUUGUGAAUUAGCCCUCUCUGGUCAAUCCCCUGGGCUCUGUGUACAGAUGCUCAGAGUCCCUCUCUGUGUCUGUGCUCCUCUUGCUGGGUGUCCUGUGCAUCCUGCUUAUACACCUGUACAGACCAGAGACCCAAACCCAGCUACAGCCUCUACCUGCGUGCAGAUAGCCCCGAACCUGUGGAAGCCACUCCGAUCCAGUGGUACAGGAGGGUUAGCCAGGAGGGUGGCUACAACUUGUGAAGCAAACACUCUGGAUGUCUAGUGUGUAGUGACAUUUCAUUUUGUAUUUUAAUAAAUAAAGUUUGCCUGAAGAUCA